rnacentral:miRNA from 1 species
UAUUGUAGGACUUGUAUUUAUC